rnacentral:rRNA from 1 species
UACGUAGGAGGCAAGCGUUGUCCGGAUUUAUUGGGCGUAAAGAGCGUGUAGGCGGUUUGGUAGGUCCGCUGUGAAAACUCGAGGCUCAACCUCGAGACGCCGGUGGAAACCAUCAGACUAGAGUCCGGAAGAGGAGAGUGGAAUUCCUGGUGUAGCGGUGAAAUGCGCAGAUAUCAGGAAGAACACCCGUGGCUAAGGCGGCUCUCUAGUACGGUACUGACGCUGAGACGCGAAAGCGUGGGGAGCGAACAGG